UGGGGAAUAUUGGGCAAUGGGCGAAAGCCUGACCUAGCAACGCCGCGUGAAGGAAGAAGGCCCUCGGGUUGUAAACUUCUUUGAUCGGGGACGAACACAAUGACGGUACCCGAAGAACAAGCCACGGCUAACUACGUGCCAGCAGCCGCGGUAAUACGUAGGGGGCAAGCGUUAUCCGGAUUUACUGGGUGUAAAGGGAGCGUAGGCGGCUAGGCAAGUCAGAUGUGAAAGCCCAGGGCUCAACCCUGGGACUGCAUUUGAAACUGCUUAGCUAGAGUGCAGGAGAGGUAAGUGGAAUUCCUAGUGUAGCGGUGAAAUGCGUAGAUAUUAGGAGGAACACCAGUGGCGAAGGCGGCUUACUGGACUGUAACUGACGCUGAGGCUCGAAAGCGUGGGGAGCAAACAGG
rnacentral:rRNA from 1 species